rnacentral:rRNA from 1 species
CUUAGUACGGCGAGUGAGCGGCAAAAGCUCAAAUUUGAAAUCUGGUACCUUCGGUGCCCGAGUUGUAAUUUGGAGAGGGCAACUUUGGGGCCGUUCCUUGUCUAUGUUCCUUGGAACAGGACGUCAUAGAGGGUGAGAAUCCCGUGUGGCGAGGAGUGCGGUUCUUUGUAAAGUGCCUUCGAAGAGUCGAGUUGUUUGGGAAUGCAGCUCUAAGUGGGUGGUAAAUUCCAUCUAAAGCUAAAUAUUGGCGAGAGACCGAUAGCGAACAAGUACAGUGAUGGAAAGAUGAAAAGAACUUUGAAAAGAGAGUGAAAAAGUACGUGAAAUUGUUGAAAGGGAAGGGCAUUUGAUCAGACAUGGUGUUUUGUGCCCUCUGCUCCUUGUGGGUAGGGGAAUCUCGCAUUUCACUGGGCCAGCAUCAGUUUUGGUGGCAGGAUAAAUCCAUAGGAAUGUAGCUUGCCUCGGUAAGUAUUAUAGCCUGUGGGAAUACUGCCAGCUGGGACUGAGGACUGCGACGUAAGUCAAGGAUGCUGGCAUAAUGGUUAUAUGCCGCCCGUCUUGAAACACGG